UACGUAGGGGGCAAGCGUUGUCCGGAUUCAUUGGGCGUAAAGGGCGCGUAGGCGGUCGAUCAAGUCAGGGGUGAAAUCCUGCAGCUUAACUGUAGAAGUGCCUUUGAUACUGGUCGUCUCGAGGGAGGUAGGGGUGUGUGGAACUUCCAGUGGAGCGGUGAAAUGCGUUGAUAUUGGAAGGAACGCCGGAGGCGAAAGCGACGCACUGGACCUCUUCUGACGCUGAGGCGCGAAAGCUAGGGGAGCAAACGGG
rnacentral:rRNA from 1 species